rnacentral:rRNA from 1 species
UACGUAGGGAGCUAGCGUUGUUCGGAAUUACUGGGCGUAAAGCGCACGUAGGCGGCUUUGUAAGUUAGAGGUGAAAGCCCGGGGCUCAACUCCGGAACUGCCUUUAAGACUGCAUCGCUUGAAUCAUGGAGAGGUCAGUGGAAUUCCGAGUGUAGAGGUGAAAUUCGUAGAUAUUCGGAAGAACACCAGUGGCGAAGGCGGCUCACUGGACUGGUAUUGACGCUGAGGUGCGAAAGCGUGGGGAGCAAACAGG